rnacentral:rRNA from 1 species
UACAGAGACUGCAAGCGUUAUUCGGAUUCACUGGGCGUAAAGGGUGCGCAGGCGGCCGAGUGUGUGAGGCGUGAAAGCCCGGGGCUUAACCCCGGAAUUGCACCUCAAACUACACGGCUAGAGCAUUUGGGAGAGGGUAGCAGAAUUCAUGGUGUAGCAGUGAAAUGCGUAGAUAUCAUGAGGAAUACCAGAGGCGAAGGCGGCUACCUGGACAAUUGCUGACGCUCAGGCACGAAAGCGUGGGGAGCAAAAGGG